AAUCUGCUGAGCUGGUGGCCACCUAAAUACAAUCGUCCUGUUCCCCUCAUUGGUCUCUCCGGUCUCCUGAUUCCAGCCACAUUUUGGUGAGCCAGCCAGGAGUGAAGACGACAGGUUUGCUGUCUCCUUUGCCUGUGGGUCUGGGGCCCCAGCCUGGGGGAGACCCGUGACUCCAGGCAUGCUAUCAGGACAACUUCAACCCGAGGGGAGAUCAGCUCUCCCGCAACCUGGUGCCGCUCUCUGACAGCACAACAGAACCUAAGGGGCUACAGGAUGAUUCAAGGAACAGUGUGCUACAGGACCUCGCAAGAAGACCCUCACCAGAUGCAGCCCCUCUAUGUUGGACUUCCCAGCCUCCGGAAGUUAGAAAUGUGCUACAACCACUCAAGGUCUGCAAACAGAUUCCUAUUUAGAUGUUGUUGAGAGGUAAGUACAACUAGUUCUCAUUAAUAUUUCAUGUCCUAUGUGCCAUACUUACACUGCCAUUUUGUAGUCAUUUGUCCUACAGCUAAAGAUUAAUUUAUAAUCAGAUACGUGAAAUCUGAUAUGUGCAUUAAGCUUGAUUAUACCUGACUGUGUCUUCACGA
rnacentral:lncRNA from 10 species